UGAGCAAUCUGCCCUUCUCUUUGGAAUAAGCGUUGGAAACGACGUCUAAUGCCGAAUACGACCUCCUUUCGCAUGAUCGGAGGUGGAAAGCUCCGGCGGAGAAGGAUGAGCUCGCGGCCUAUCAGCUAGUUGGUGUGGGUAAUGGCCCACCAAGGCGACGACGGGUAGCCGGCCUGAGAGGGUGACCGGCCACACGUGGGACUGAGACACGGCCCAGACUCCGUACGGGAGG
rnacentral:rRNA from 1 species